AAAACACGAGCUGCUGGGGGAACUCAGCGGGUCGGGCAGCAUCUGUGGAGGGAAAUGGACAGCCGACGUGUCCGGUCGAGACCCUUCACCUGGACUGGAAGAAUAGAGGGGAGACGGCCGGUGUAAAGACAAUGGGAAGUGUCGGCGGUCAAGCGGCUUCUGCUGCUCCUGCAGCCCCGCCCCGACAAGCAAGAUCGCAAGUGGCCUUGAAAGUGGAAGGGACCCUACACUGUGCUGCUAACAACCCAAAUGGCUCUGAAGGUCGACGGGAAAGAAGAUUGGAUUCACGCCGCUAGAUGCAUAAAGCAUCAUCCAUCGAACGCUGACUGACAUUUACACAAUAUCUGCAGAAGAUAUUGGAAAAGAUGCAGUGGUUAGGAGGGUUGGUGAUAGUGGGACGGCUGGUUUCAGUCGCAGGCAGCAGUCACUCCAACACCUUCUUGUCCCUAUGUCAUACAUAUGCUAGACAGGUGAGGCAGGGAGCCUGCUGGAUAUGCGCAGAGGUUCCCCAACAUGGACAAAAGAUGAUACCAAUCUCAGUGAUACCCCUCACCCAGAAUGAGACACGAUCCAUUAGAUGGUUCACCAGAAACAAAAAUGGCACCAGAAAAAAUGCCAACUGCACCCAGGACCGGGGCAGGGAUCAGUGCUUCCCUUGUUGCUUUGAGGGGUGGUACCUUCGGCCACCCCCCAAGGACUCCUCGAAAUUAAAAUAGGGUAUUAAGGUAGAUCCUCCUCCUGCGCCGGUGAACACUACCUGCUAUUGUAAUGACAACUUCAGUGCCCCGUACCAGUUGGGGAAUAGUACUUGUACUAAGUGGGUUAAUACCACAUGAACGGUUGCAGGAACCACCGGGAUUUGGGGAGGAGGACUUAGACCAAUAAAUGGAACUUAUUGGAUAUGUGGGAAUAGGGCUUACCCAUGGUUGCCUGGAGAGCUACCCGACUCCGGGGGUGAAGGCAGGACAAUCACACCCAAGGAGGAUAAGGGUGCUUAUUAAGGUUGCUACUUAACCUAUUUAGUAGCCCAUCUAAGGGUCAUGGGCCAUCCCAAAGAGCACCCCCAUUGGGCUCGAACCCGUAGGGGAAUAUCCAAAGCCGAAUGAUUUGGCAUGAUAAUGUUCCCCAUGUAUGGAAUGGGUCGAACCAUUACUGAAAUGGUUAAACUAGCUGCUGCUUUGGAAGAACUAGCUAAUGAUACUACUGAAGUGCUUGAAGAAACCCAAUCCCAAGUAUACGGCAUAACCACUGAAAUGAUCGCUAUAAGGCAGACAGUUUUACAGAAUUGUAUGGCUCUUGACUUUAUAUUAGCUGAGAAAGGAGGCACCUGUGCUAUGAUAGGAAAAGAGUGUUGUACUUACAUUCCUGAUGCUUCUGAAAAUAUAACAGAUCUAGGACAGCACAUAACGGAAAAGACAAAGGAGGUUAGGAAGGUAGGAGAACAAAGCAAAAACUUUAAUAGUGGAGGGUCUUGGUGGGAAGGAAUAUGGGGAUGGUUUUCCGGAUGGGGAAGCCGGAUCACACAUGGAAUUAUAAUAGUGGCCAUGAUAUGUGUUUUAGGCUGUUGCGCAUGUGGAGCACUGAAGUUAUGCUGUAGUCAGUUAAUGAAGAAAGUUUCAUCUGGCCCUGAAGUCUCUAUGGUACCCCAAAUGGUAAGAGAUAAAUCUAGCAAGGAACACUGGUGGGGUGAAGAGGUGUACCCAAAGAAAGAAAGACCCUUCCCCUCUGGAUAUGACCCUCCUUAUGAGGAAGAGGAAAUACCAUAUGAGGAAUGUUGAUCUGAAAGAUCAACAAGGAGGGAAUUGUGGAAGAAAACUUAAAGCAUUAUUAAGAGGGUCAAACAAUUUCUACUGACAGCUGUCUGUCCUUGAUUAACUGCCAACUAACUAACCUUAUCUAGCUUGCUUGCUUGCUUGUUCUCAAGGAAGGGCAUGGGAACUUGUCUUUCUCUGGAAUCAUUGUUUCAUAAUCUAUCCUAACGCUGCAGGCAGAGUAACUUAUAAGCUGAUACUUGCUUCAGGUUAUCGCCUAGAACAUGCUGGGAAACUUUUGUAUUUGUGUAAAUUUUUUUG